rnacentral:rRNA from 1 species
GAUGAACGCUGGCGGCGUGCCUAAUACAUGCAAGUCGAGCGAACGGACGAGGAGCUUGCUCCUCUGAUGUUAGCGGCGGACGGGUGAGUAACACGUGGAUAACCUACCUAUAAGACUGGGAUAACUUCGGGAAACCGGAGCUAAUACCGGAUAAUAUUUUGAACCGCAUGGUUCAAUAGUGAAAGACGGUCUUGCUGUCACUUAUAGAUGGAUCCGCGCUGCAUUAGCUAGUUGGUAAGGUAACGGCUUACCAAGGCAACGAUGCAUAGCCGACCUGAGAGGGUGAUCGGCCACACUGGAACGUAGACACGGUCCAGACUCCUACGGGAGGCAGCAGUAGGGAAUCUUCCGCAAUGGGCGAAAGCCUGACGGAGCAACGCCGCGUGAGUGAUGAAGGUCUUCGGAUCGUAAAACUCUGUUAUUAGGGAAGAACAUAUGUGUAAGUAACUGUGCACAUCUUGACGGUACCUAAUCAGAAAGCCACGGCUAACUACGUG